rnacentral:rRNA from 1 species
GGAUUAGAUACCCUGGUAGUCCACGCGGUAAACGAUGUCGGCUCGGCGUGCGUUAAUGAGUAUCAUUGAUGCGUGCCUAAGCUCACGCGGUAAGCCGACCGCCUGGGAACUGCGAGCGCAAGCUUAAAACUCAAAGGAAUUGACGGGGGCCCGCACAAGCAGCGGAGCGUGUGGUUUAAUUCGAUCAACGCGAAGAACCUUACCCAGGGUUGACAUGGUACUGCAAGCUCUCGGAAACGGGAGGCCUUCGAGGGUGUACCACAGGUGCUGCAUGGCUGUCGUCAGCUCGUGCUG